AGGAGGAGCAACUCACAAACUACAUGCAACAUCCAACACAGACAAAGUAGGCAUUUAUACUUGGAGCGAUAGAGGAUUAUUAUUCAGCAUCAGAAAAAAACAUUAUUCAUCAUGAACGGAAAUAUACUUUGUUGUAUAUUUUUGCUUGGAUAUCUUUCAUCAUCAGGACAAGCUCAAACAACAACAACUGUGGUUCCAUCAACGAUAAUGACGACUGUGGCACCAACAACUACGACCGCAACCACAGCUCCAACAACCACAACUCAAGCUCCAACAACCACAACUUCAGCUCCAACAACCACAACCGCAGCUCCAACAACCACAACCGCAGCUCCAACAAUCACAACCGCAGCUCCAACAAUCACAACCGCAGCUCCAACAACCACAACUCCAGUCCCAACAACCACAACUGCAGCUCCAAUACCCACAACUCCAGCUCCGACAACCCCAGCUCUAGCAAUCUUAACUCCAACAAGCACAACUCCAACAACCACAUCCGCAGCUCCAACAACCACAACUCCAGGUCCAACAAGCACAACAACAGUUCCAACAACCACAACCAUAGCUCCAUCAACCACAACCACAACCACAGCUCCAACAACCACAACCACAGCUCCAACAACCACAACCAUAGCUCCAACAACCGCAACCCCAACAACCACAGCCACAGCUCAAACAACCACAGCUGCAGCUCCAACAACCAUAACUCCAGCUCCCACAACCACAACUCCAGUCCCAACAACCACAACCGCAGCUCCAGCAACCACAGCUGCAGCUCCAACAACCACAACUGCAGCUCCAACAACCACAUCUCCAGGUCUGACAACCCCAACCCCAGCUCCAGCAAUCCUAACUCCAACAAGCACAACUCCAACAACCACAACUCAAGCUCCAACAACCACAACCACAGCUCCAACAACCACAACCGCAGCUCUAGCAACCACAAUCACAGCUCCAACAACCACAGCUCCAACAACCACAACCAUAGCUCAACCAACCACAACUCCAGCUCCAACAACCACAAUUGCAGCUCCAUCCACCACAACCGCAACUCCAACAGCCACAACUCCAGCUUCCACAACCACAACUCCAGCUCUGACAACCCCAACCCCAGCUCUAGCAAUCCUAACUCCAACAAGCACAACUCCAACAACCACAACUCCAGCUCCAACAACCACAGCUCCAGCGCCAACAACCACAACCACAGCUCCAACAACCACAAUUGCAGCUCCAUCCACCACAACCGCAACUCCAACAGCCACAACUCCAGCUUCCACAACCACAACUCCAGCUCCGACAACCCCAACCCCAGCUCCAGCAAUCAUAACUCCAACAACCACAACCACAGCUCCAAACACCACAACUCCAGCUCCAACAACCACAACCACAGCUCCAACAACCACAACCACAGCUCAAGCAACCACAAUCACAGCUCCAACAACCACAACCGCAGCUCCAACAACCACAAUUGCAGCUCCAUCCACCACAACCGCAACUCCAACAGCCACAACUCCAGCUUCCACAACCACAACUCCAGCUCUGACAACCCCAACCCCAGCUCCAGCAAUCCUAACUCCAACAAGCACAACUCCAACAACCACAACUCCAGCUCCAACAACCACAACUCCAGCUCCAACAACCACAAUUGCAGCUCCAUCCACCACAACUGCAACUCCAACAGCCACAACUCCAGCUUCCACAACCACAACUCCAGCUCCGACAACCCCAACCCCAGCUCCAGCAAUCAUAACUCCAACAACCACAACCACAGCUCCAAACACCACAACUCCAGCUCCAACAACCACAACCACACCUCCAACAACCACAACCACAGCUCAAGCAACCACAAUCACAGCUCCAACAACCACAACCGCAGCUCCAACAACCACAAUUGCAGCUCCAUCCACCACAACUGCAACUCCAACAGCCACAACUCCAGCUUCCACAACCACAACUCCAGCUCUGACAACCCCAACCCCAGCUCCAGCAAUCCUAACUCCAACAAGCACAACUCCAACAACCACAACUCCAGCUCCAACAACCACAACUCCAGCUCCAACAACCACAAUUGCAGCUCCAUCCACCACAACCGCAAUUCCAACAGCCACAACUCCAGCUUCCACAACCACAACUCCAGCUCCGACAACCCCAACCCCAGCUCCAGCAAUCAUAACUCCAACAACCACAACCACAGCUCCAAACACCACAACUCCAGCUCCAACAACCACAACCACAGCUCCAACAACCACAACCACAGCUCAAGCAACCACAAUCACAGCUCCAACAACCACAACUCCAGCUCCAACAACCACAAUUCCAGCUCCAUCCACCACAACCGCAACUCCAACAGCCACAACUCCAGCUUCCACAACCACAACUCCAGCUCCGACAACCCCAACCCCAGCUCCAGCAAUCAUAACUCCAACAACCACAACCACAGCUCCAAACACCACAACUCCAGCUCCAACAACCACAACCACAGCUCCAACAACCACAACCACAGCUCAAGCAACCACAAUCACAGCUCCAACAACCACAACCGCAGCUCCAACAACCACAAUUGCAGCUCCAUCCACCACAACCGCAACUCCAACAGCCACAACUCCAGCUUCCACAACCACAACUCCAGCUCUGACAACCCCAACCCCAGCAAUCCUAACUCCAACAACCACAACUCCAACAACCACAACUCCAGCUCCAACAACCACAACUCCAGCUCCAACAACCACAAUUGCAGCUCCAUCCACCACAACCGCAACUCCAACAGCCACAACUCCAGCCUCCACAACCACAACUCCAGCUCCGACAACCCCAACCCCAGCUCCAGCAAUCAUAACUCCAACAACCACAACCACAGCUCCAAACACCACAACUCCAGCUCCAACAACCACAACCACAGCUCAAGCAACCACAAUCACAGCUCCAACAACCACAACCGCAGCUCCAACAACCAUUACUCCAGCUCCAACUACAACACCAGGUAGAUCAACAACCACCCAAGGUAUACGACUACAUGAUAAACCCAAAUGUACUUAUUGCAAUUCACUUUAUCCUUUUCAUAUUACAUUAUUGGAUAACUACAUGAAAUAA
rnacentral:lncRNA from 1 species